rnacentral:rRNA from 1 species
UACGUAGGGGGCAAGCGUUGUCCGGAAUUAUUGGGCGUAAAGCGCGCGCAGGCGGUUAUUUAAGUCUGGUGUUUAAACCUUGGGCUCAACCUGGGGUCGCACUGGAAACUGGGUAACUUGAGUACAGAAGAGGAAAGUGGAAUUCCACGUGUAGCGGUGAAAUGCGUAGAGAUGUGGAGGAACACCAGUGGCGAAGGCGACUUUCUGGGCUGUAACUGACGCUGAGGCGCGAAAGCGUGGGGAGCAAACA